ACUUGGUUUAGCAUGAUUUUCAUGAUUAAAGAAGAGAUUAAGAGUUUUUAGCACUAACCUUUUUUUUAUAACUUGUUAAACUUCGCUUUCCUUGCUUCUUUUUGGUAUUUAUAGCUUCCUUAGGGUAUGGGGAGUAUUUUUUAUGAGGUGGGCUAUGGGUUUUGGGUGGAUUAAGCUUGCAAGCUUGAAUAUCAAUGAAGGAAAUGGGAGCAUGGGCAGCCGGCAAUGUAGAGGGAGAACGGAGCAGAGACGAUAAA
rnacentral:misc_RNA from 1 species